AUGUUGAAAAAUUAGCGGAUGACUUGUGGCUGGGGGUGAAAGGCCAAUCAAACCGGGAGAUAGCUGGUUCUCCCCGAAAGCUAUUUAGGUAGCGCCUCGUGAACUCAUCUUCGGGGGUAGAGCACUGUUUCGGCUAGGGGGUCAUCCCGACUUACCAACCCGAUGCAAACUACGAAUACCGAAGAAUGUUAUCACGGGAGACACACGGCGGGUGCUAACGUCCGUCGUGAAGAGGGAAACAACCCAGACCGCCAGCUAAGGUCCCAAAGUCAUGGUUAAGUGGGAAACGAUGUGGGAAGGCACAGACAGCCAGGAUGUUGGCUUAGAAGCAGCCAUCAUUUAAAGAAAGCGUAAUAGCUCACUGGUCGAGUCGGCCUGCGCGGAAGAUGUAACGGGGCUAAACCAUGCACCGAAGCUGCGGCAGCGACACUAUGUGUUGUUGGGUAGGGGAGCGUUCUGUAAGCCUGCGAAGGUGUGCUGUGAGGCAUGCUGGAGGUAUCAGAAGUGCGAAUGCUGACAUAAGUAACGAUAAAGCGGGUGAAAAGCCCGCUCGCCGGAAGACCAAGGGUUCCUGUCCAACGUUAAUCGGGGCAGGGUGAGUCGACCCCUAAGGCGAGGCCGAAAGGCGUAGUCGAUGGGAAACAGGUUAAUAUUCCUGUACUUGGUGUUACUGCGAAGGGGGGACGGAGAAGGCUAUGUUAGCCGGGCGACGGUUGUCCCGGUUUAAGCAUGUAGGCUGGUUAUCCAGGCAAAUCCGGAUAAUCAAGGCUGAGGUGUGAUGACGAGGCACUACGGUGCUGAAGUAACAAAUGCCCUGCUUCCAGGAAAAGCCUCUAAGCAUCAGGUAACAUCAAAUCGUACCCCAAACCGACACAGGUGGUCAGGUAGAGAAUACCAAGGCGCUUGAGAGAACUCGGGUGAAGGAACUAGGCAAAAUGGUGCCGUAACUUCGGGAGAAGGCACGCUGGUGUGUAGGUGAAGUCCCUGCGGAUGGAGCUGAGACCAGUCGAAGAUACCAGCUGGCUGCAACUGUUUAUUAAAAACACAGCACUGUGCAAACACGAAAGUGGACGUAUACGGUGUGACGCCUGCCCGGUGCCGGAAGGUUAAUUGAUGGGGUUAUCCGUAAGGAGAAGCUCUUGAUCGAAGCCCCGGUAAACGGCGGCCGUAACUAUAACGGUCCUAAGGUAGCGAAAUUCCUUGUCGGGUAAGUUCCGACCUGCAC
rnacentral:rRNA from 1 species